UAUUCUUCUUCAUUCUAGAUCUUCCGCACCACACCAUCUUCUCUUACUCUUCAUCUCUUCUUUGUCCGCCAUUUUUUGCGAGAACAAGAGGAGACAUCAUUCUCCUCUCCUUUCUACCCCUCUUCCGCCUCUCUUCCUUCGCCCUUCUCUGUUCCAUCUCCGCCAGCAGCAGCUCCUCGUCCUCUCGUCUCCAGCGCUGGCGCUUUGGUGAAUAGCAGCUCUGCCUUGAAAGCCACGUAGUACCAGCGUCUCUAAACAACAGAAGCCGGCGACAACAACCAGCAGCACCCGCUACAGCAGCAGGCAAUGAACCACCAACAGUCACUCGGGCAGAAACAAAAACAAACAAUAGAGACACCAAACACUGCUCCGAGCAGACAAGCUAUUGUGUAGGACCACUAUAUCGCAGGACAAGCUUUGAAAUCAAAAUAAAUUUGAAAAUUCAUGAUGGUACUACAUGGAGAAUCAAAUACUGGUCACUAUAGCAAAAGAAGAGUACACUGAAGGAAAUUCUUUUAAACAGUUUAUUAUGCUUGCUGCAGAGUUAGAAAUUAAGCUUAAUGGACCAUCCCUUUUCCUUAGGAUGAAGAUUGAGCAGGGAACCUUCUGAAAAAGGGCAUACUUAGAAUGUAAGAUGAAUUGUAUCUUUAGAAUAUUGUCUACUGGCAUAACAGGUUUGCACUCUUUUAUGGAUGGGAGAAAAGUAUCAGGCUCUCAUCAAGAAUACUAUCAAGCUGCCGGGAUAUAAAGGAAGAGAAGAGUGUAUGGAUCGGAAGCAAAAACAUACUACAUGAAGCAAAUGUUUCUCUUAAGAAUAGUUGGUAUAUUUCUUUUCAUAUUUUUCACCUGAAGUAUGUGGAUUUGAUUUCUUAUCUACAGACUUAUACCCUCUUAAUAUUAUUUUACAUGAAUAUUUGUUA